UAUUAAAAAAUUUAUCUAUUUGUAUUGUUAAAAACUGGCAUAGCUGAUAGAUAACGAAAAAGUGAUACGUGACAUGCCACAUGUACAUUAUGUUGAUAUACAAUUAUCAAUUUUUAACAGUAGAAUUUGAUGAAAUUUUUAAUA
rfam:Gossypium hirsutum cultivar TM-1 chromosome 5, whole genome shotgun sequence